UACGGAGGGUGCAAGCGUUAUCCGGAUUUACUGGGUUUAAAGGGUGCGUAGGUGGAUUGGUGAGUCAGUGGUGAAAUACUUUCGCUUAACGAAGGAACUGCCAUUGAUACUACCAGUCUUGAAUACAGUGGAGGUGGGCGGAAUGCGCCAUGUAGCGGUGAAAUGCUUAGAUAUGACGCAGAACACCAAUUGCGAAGGCAGCUUGCUACACUGUUAUUGACACUGAGGCACGAAAGCGUGGGGAUCAAACAGG
rnacentral:rRNA from 1 species